rnacentral:misc_RNA from 1 species
UCCUCGUUUAGACGAGGCAGUCUGUCCAGAGUGCUUCCUGCUCUCGCAGGAGUGGCAACAGGACACAAGGGUUGCGCUCGUUGCGGGACUUAACCCAACAUCUCACGACACGAGCUGACGACAGCCAUGCAGCACCUGUGCAAGCUCCCCUUGCGGGGUCGUUACCCUUUCGGGCUUCUACCACCUGCAUGUCAAGGCCAGGUAAGGUUCUUCGCGUUGCAUCGAAUUAAGCCACAUACUCCACCGCUUGUGCAGGCCCCCGUCAAUUUCUUUGAGUUUUAAUCUUGCGACCGUACUCCCCAGGCGGCACAUUUAACGCGUUUGCUACGCCACGAAAGGGGUCGAAUCCUCUCACAGCAAAUGUGCACCGUUUACGGCUAGGACUAC